GCAAGUCGUGGCAGCUGGAAGUUUGCUGGCAGCUAGAAGUUUGCUGGGGCCCCUUCGGCUGUGGCUCUCAACAAGUGAUGGUCACUGUGAUAAGUGCUUUCCACCAUUGAUAUUUAAUCCUAACAGCUGUUUUAUGAGAUAAGAAUGAUCACUAUGUCUCUGGUACAAAUCAGGAAAUAAAGACACAGAGAGCUUAAGUAAUGUGUUCAAACUCAGUCAGCUAUCAGGUAACAAAGGUAGGACACAAGUCUAGAAAGUCUAAGAAUCAUAAAUAAAUCAGAAAGAGGAAGAAAGGACAAUGUGAGAAAGGCACAGAGGAAUAAGCCACCAUGGGUGUGAAGGGAAAUCAUGGUAGUUAUACAGCAGAUAUAGGGCAUACUGUGCCCAUAUGUGCUCUCUGUGUUCUGGAGAGCUAUUCUUGCACUGUUGACCUGAAGGCAUUUCUCUAAGCCAAGGGAGCAGCUCUGACUUUGUAUGGUGGGCUAGAUGUGCUGGCAAUUAGCACAUUAGCACAUCAGGGUGUGCUGAUGGGAGUUGGUGUAUAAACAUCCCAGCUCCCUUGUUCUUCAGGUUGGAGCAUGUGUUUCUUGGCAUUGCCCUUAGGGAUUAAGCUUGUUGACAGCUGGCUUGAUAACACACCUCAGAUAGACCACAUCCCUUUGUAGCAUCACACUCCUUAUUCCUUACUGGUCUUGCUUUCACUUCCCAAAUAUAAACCUCUUCAACUUGAAUCCUUAUCCCAAGGUCUGCUUCCAGGGGAACACAAGCUAACACAAAUUUAGUAUUGCUAAAGUGUAGAAUAGGAGACUGAAGAGGGAUGGCAGGGUCAAUGCAGCCCAAAGUCUGCAAUGUACCGAUAGACAGAUGGUAGUUACUAGACCAAGACAUUGUAUAUUUAUGGACUCAGAGAAUAUAUAAUAUAUGUAUAUAUGCACUAUCACUUCAGAAAGUUCCUACGAGAUCAUUUGUCUGUCCCAUUUUACAAAUUAUCCACCCGAGAUCUAAAGUGAAAAAUUACUUCACAAAGGUCCCUUUGAUGCUUAGUUAUAAAGCCCAGGUUCUUAAUGCCUAAGUGCUCAUAGUAAGAGUCCUACUUACUGAAGCACUCUAAGGAGAUGUUUGUAAUAGUCUCUACACCACUUCUUCCACCUUUAUUAAACUCAUGAAGAUUAGGAUCUUGAAAAACUCAUUUUAGGGCUCUGUUUUUCUUGAAAAUUAGCAUGUGCUAACUAACCCACCAGAACUGGCUAGGACCCACAGUCUGAGAAAUGGAGAACCAUGCAUCAGUUUUCAACGUAGUGUUUAAUAUCUACCAGCCACUUGCUAAUUAUUCAUUUCAUUUCUAGGAGGUAAUGGUAGAAAAUUACACAAAGACAUGCUUCUAUGAGCACAAUAUAGCCUUAUCUGUAACAGCAAAAGAACAGAAAUCACCAGAAUACCCACCAAUGGAGUAAUACCCAAUGUUAUUGCAUAAAAUAAGGAGAGUCUAGAAAGAUAUCCUUGUUAAGUGAAAAAAGCAAUUUGCAAAUUGUAUAUAUCUUAUGAUGCCCCUCCCCUUUUUUAAAAGGAAAGCUUAUAUGUAGAUAUUUUGGUUUGUAAGUACAAGAAAAUUCUAGAAAGAUACUGGAACUGUAUGUGGUAGCAUAAUUUUUAGGGUAUUAGCUUGCAUUUGGCCUCCCUGCGUUUCUUUCCUCUGACCAUUGUAAGCAGAUGGUCAGGCUUUUUGUGGCCUCUUGCCAUAAGGAAGAUGUUUAUCUUAGGGCCAGAAGCCAGAGUUGUCUGCAAGACACUUCCGAUUCUGGUGCUGAAUUUUGUAAGACCUAAACCCAUCAAGGGGAUGACACCUGCUGCCCGAGAUGCUGGAGAGAGAAGAGAAGGUGUUUGAAAUGGGAUAGAAGUCUGAGUCUCAGAGCACUCUCAAGAGGAGGAAGACCUCAGACCCACCUAGGGAUUCCAAACCCUUACAUCUUGCUUUCAGAGAAGCAGCUGCAGAACCAGCACCACAAGAGGCCAUGCCAUCUGAGACCAUGGACAUCUAAAUAAAUUUUAAGCUAUUGGAGGACAUGGAACAGAAUGAUACCGUGAGCUCAGGCUGAAAUGUGUCUAUUGAAAGCCUUGGAUAGUAAUCAGAAUCCCAAAGUCCUUACGGUUCCUGUAACUAUGAACACUUCAUCAUCCAGGGACAGAAAAUGUGGGCUUCUCAUUUCUUCUGCUACAGCCUCCUGAACGACUGACAUGGAUAUAGGAUUUCCAUUGGCAUUUGUCUGACAAGAUGACAGAAAGCAAUUCUCCAUUAAGCCCUCAGUUAUCAACUGACAUAAGGGGUCAAUGGGGGCCAUUGGACCAGAAGACAUCAGAACAAAAUACUGAAAAGUUGACUCUUCUCUUGAAGCCAAC